AUUACCGCGGCUGCUGGCACGAAGUUAGCCGGGGCUUAUUCUGCGGGUACCGUCAUCAUCGUCCCCGCCAAAAGAGCUUUACAACCCGAAGGCCUUCAUCACUCACGCGGCAUGGCUGGAUCAGGGUUGCCCCCAUUGUCCAGUAUUCCCCACUGCUGCCUCCCGU
rnacentral:rRNA from 1 species